rnacentral:rRNA from 1 species
AGCUCCAAUAGGAUAUGUCAAAGUUGUUGCAGUUGAAAAGCUCGUAGUCGUAUUUCUGGUGGGUGCUGUUUUCGAUUUGUGACGCAAGUUGCUUGUCAAAAGCCGCCUGCCAUUUUGUGGGCCCAAGUGGCCAUUGUGCGGUUUACUCUGUGCGAUGGUCGCUCCACUCCGUCACUGAGAGCAAAUUGGAGUGCUCAAAGCAGGCUUUACAGCUUUGAACAUCUUAGCUUGGAAUGACAAAGUAUGACUUUUUGUUCACUUUGUUGGUUAUGAAUGAGAGGUAAUGAUAAAUAGGAACAGUUGCGGGGUUACUCGUACUGGGAAGUCAGAGGUGAAAUUCUUAGAUUUUCCCACGACGAACGACUGCGAAAGCAUUUAACAAGGAUGUUUUCAUUGAUCA